rnacentral:rRNA from 1 species
UACGUAGGGGUGCGAGCGUUUAAUCGGAAUUACUGGGCGUAAAGCGUGCGCAGGCGGUGAUGUAAGACCGAUGUGAAAUCCCCGGGCUUAACCUGGGAACUGCAUUGGUGACUGCAUUGCUGGAGUAUGGCAGAGGGGGGUGGAAUUCCACGUGUAGCAGUGAAAUGCGUAGAGAUGUGGAGGAACACCGAUGGCGAAGGCAGCCCCCUGGGCCAAUACUGACGCUCAUGCACGAAAGCGUGGGGAGCAAACAGG